UACGAGGGGAGCAAGCGUUGUUCGGAUUUACUGGGCGUAAAGGGCGCGUAGGCGGCGUGACAAGUCACUUGUGAAAUCUCCGGGCUUAACUCGGAACGGUCAAGUGAUACUGUCGUGCUAGAGUACAGAAGGGGCAACUGGAAUUCUCGGUGUAGCGGUGAAAUGCGUAGAUAUCGAGAGGAACACCUGCGGCGAAGGCGGGUUGCUGGGCUGAUACUGACGCUGAGGAGCGAAAGCCAGGGGAGCAAACGGG
rnacentral:rRNA from 1 species